CAGUAACCUCACUGUUUUCAUGUUUUGUGAAUUUUAUUUUAUUGAGGUAUUUUAUUUUGAAAAGCAUCAAAGCGGAAAUGAUGCGUGCAUUUUGYGCCUUCAAUCCUUUGGUUUCCCUCACUUUGCUGCUGAGCACUGCGAGGGAGCCAGAAGUGCAGAAAAGAGAAGACAAGUGACCUGUUUGUUUGAUUGUCUUCUGCAGGAGAGAAAAUAAACAUUGGAGAAAAAGUA